AUUGAACGCUGGCGGCGUGCCUAACACAUGCAAGUCGAGCGGUAACAGGCGUAGCAAUACGUGCUGACGAGCGGCGAACGGGUGAGCAAUGCUUCGGAAUCUGCCCAAUGAUGGGGCAUAACCAGUCGACAGACUGGCUAAUACCGCAUACGCCCUUCGGGGGCAAGCGGGGGUCGCACGACCUCGCGGCGCUGGACGAGCCGAAGGCGGAUUAGCUAGUUGGUAGGGUAACGGCCUACCAAGGCGACGAUCCGUAGGUGGUCUGCGAGGACGACCAGCCACACUGGGACUGAGACACGGCCCAGACUCCUACGGGAGGCAGCAGUGGGGAAUAUUGGACAAUGGGGGCAACCCUGAUCCAGCGACGCCGCGUGUGUGAAGAAGGCCUGCGGGUUGUAAAGCACUUUUAGUGGGGAUGAAAAGCACAUUGCUAAUACCAGUGUGUCUUGACCUAACCCAAAGAAAAAGCACCGGCUAACUCUGUGCCAGCCGCCGCAGUAA
rnacentral:rRNA from 1 species